rnacentral:misc_RNA from 1 species
AACGCACAUUGCGCCCUUUGGUAUUCCGAGGGGCAUGCCUGUUCGAGCGUCAUUUCAACCCUCAAGCUCCUGCUUGGUAUUGAGCGGCACCGCCUGUGAACGCAGGCGCGCUCGAAACUCGUGGGCGGUGACGUCCAGCGUCGAAGCGUAGUCAAACGUUCGCUUUCCGACCAGCUGGGCGCUCACCCGCCGGGCGACGAAUUUCACUUCUCAGGUUUGACCUCGGAUCAGGUAGGGAUACCCGCUGAACUUAA